rnacentral:rRNA from 1 species
UACGGAGGUGCAAGCGUUAAUCGGAAUUACUGGGCGUAAAGCGCGCGUAGGUUGUUUGUUAAGCGAGAUGUGAAAGCCCCGGGCUCAACCUGGGAACUGCAUUUCGAACUGGCAAGCUAGAGUACAGUAGAGGGUGGCGGAAUUUCCUGUGUAGCGGUGAAAUGCGUAGAGAUGGGAAGGAACAUCAGUGGCGAAGGCGGCCACCUGGACUGAUACUGACACUGAGGUGCGAAAGCGUGGGGAGCAAACAGG